UGCUGGAUAGCUCAGCUGGUUAGCGCCUGGUGCAGACAACACCAGGGUCGUGGGUUUGAACCCCAUAUGAGAAA